rnacentral:rRNA from 1 species
UAGGGAAUCUUCCACAAUGGACGCAAGUCUGAUGGAGCAACGCCGCGUGAGUGAAGAAGGUUUUCGGACCGUAAAGCUCUGUUGUUGGUGAAGAAGGAUAGAGGUAGUAACUGGCCUUUAUUUGACGAUAAUCAACCAGAAAGUCACGGCUAACUAUGUGCCAGCAGCCGCGGUAAUACGUAGGUGGCAAGCGUUGUCCGGAUUUAUUGGGCGUAAAGCGAGCGCAGGCGGAAGAAUAAGUCUGAUGUGAAAGCCCUCGGCUUAACCGAGGAAUUGCAUCGGAAACUGUUUUCUUGAGUGCAGAAGAGGAGAGUAGAACUCCAUGUGUAGCGGUGGAAUGCGUAGAUAUAUGGAAGAAUACCAGUGGCGAAGGCGGCUCUCUGGUCUGCAACUGACGCUGAGGCUCGAAAAGCAUGGGUAGCGAACAGGAUUAGAUACCCUGGUAGUCCAUGCCGUAAACGAUGAGUGCUAAGUGUUGGGAGGCUUCCGCCUCUCAGUGCUGCAGCUAACGCAUUAAGCACUCCGCCUGGGGGAGUACGACCGCAAAGGUUGAAAC